rnacentral:RNase_P_RNA from 1 species
AGAGUUGGCUGGACAGUCGCUGUUUUAUCGUCAAGAUAAAAUGGAGGAAAGUCCGGGCUCCAUUGGGCAGGGUGCCAGGUAACGCCUGGGAGGCGUGAGCCUACGGAAAGUGCCGCAGAAAAUAUACCG